GACGAACGAUGGCGGAGGGAGGAACAAAGGAAAGUGGAACGGACAGGCCCUGCUUUUGUGUGGUGCUCGAGUGGCGAACGGGUGAGUAACACGUGAGUCACAGUCGCUUGACUUUGGGAUAACUUCAGGAAACUGGGGCUAAUACCGGCACGGAGCUCCUGCUACAUGGUGGGGGUUAGAAAGUUUCGGCGGUUGGGGAUGGACUCGCGGCUUAUGCCCUUGUUGGUGGGGUAGUGGCUUACCAAGGCGGGGACGGGGCGCCGGCCUGAGAGGGUGACCGGCCACAUUGGGACUGAGAUACGGCCCAGACUCCUACGGGAGGCAGCAGGUGGGAAUAUUGCACAAUGGGCGGAAGCCUGAGCACGCAACGCCGCGUGCGGGGUCCCUCACUUGGCUUUGUAAACCGCUUUCGCCUGUGACGAAGCGUGAGUGACGGUAAUGGGUACCGUAGACCCCUCUCCCUACGUC
rnacentral:rRNA from 1 species